rnacentral:rRNA from 1 species
UCCAAUAGCGUAUAUUAAAGUUGUUGCAGUUAAAAAGCUCGUAGUUGAAUUUCGGGAUCAGUACGUUGGUCAUGCCUUGGUAUGUACUGGUGUAACUGAUUCCUCCCUUCUGACGAACCGUCAUGCCAUUAAUUUGGUGUGGCGGGAAAUCAGGACUGUUACUUUGAAAAAAUUAGAGUGUUUAAAGCAGGCUCGCGCUUGAAUACAUUAGCAUGGAAUAAUGAAAUAGGACGUUAAUCCUAUUUUGUUGGUUUCUAGGAUCGACGUAAUGAUUAAUAGGGAUAGUUGGGGGCAUUAGUAUUCAAUUGUCAGAGGUGAAAUUCUUGGAUUUAUUGAAGACUAACUACUGCGAAAGCAUUUACCAAGGAUGUUUUCAUUAAUCAAGAACGAAAGUUAGGGGAUCGAAGACGAUCAGAUACCGUCGUAGUCUUAACCAUAAACUAUGCCGACUAGGGAUCGGAUGAUGUUAAUUUUUUAAUGACUCAUUCGGCGCCUUACGGGAAC